UACGUAGGGACCGAGCGUUGUCCGGAAUCAUUGGGCGUAAAGAGCGUGUAGGCGGCCACUUAAGUCCUGCGUGAAAUCUUGCGGCUCAACCGCAAGCGGUCGUGGGAAACUGGGUGGCUAGAGUGCGGGAGAGGAGAGUGGAAUUCCUGGUGUAGCGGUGGAAUGCGCAGAUAUCAGGAAGAACACCCGUGGCGAAGGCGGCUCUCUGGAACGCAACUGACGCUGAGACGCGAAAGAGUGGGGAGCAAACAGG
rnacentral:rRNA from 1 species